UCGUAGCAGUGCGUAGUUACAAACCAUUUUUUUACUGGUUUUGUUAAUGCCCUGUAGUUGAAAUCAUAAAUUGGAAAUCACGUAAGCGUCUUAUUUGUGAAUUUAAAAAUGGGUGGUAGGGCGUGUUGUGUCCCAAAUUGUAAUUCAGGUAAAAAAGCACCACGUCACAAAUUUUCAAAAGAUCCAAUAAGAUGCCACCAAUGGGUACAAAGUUUAAAAUUGGACUUUUUGGAAAAUGCGUGUGCACAACAUUUACAAAAGUACAGAGUUUGCUAUAAACAUUUUCGAGAGGAAGACUAUAAAUGUUUUACACAAUCUCGAGUAUUAAAAGAAUUUGCAAUUCCUGGUCUUUACAUUAAUUCUGACAAUAAUACUGAAAAUAAUACUGAAAA
rnacentral:lncRNA from 13 species